GAUGAACGCUGGCGGCGUGCCUAAUACAUGCAAGUCGAGCGAACGGACGAGAAGCUUGCUUCUCUGAUGUUAGCGGCGGACGGGUGAGUAACACGUGGAUAACCUACCUAUAAGACUGGGAUAACUUCGGGAAACCGGAGCUAAUACCGGAUAAUAUUUUGAACCGCAUGGUUCAAAAGUGAAAGACGGUCUUGCUGUCACUUAUAGAUGGAUCCGCGCUGCAUUAGCUAGUUGGUAAGGUAACGGCUUACCAAGGCAACGAUGCAUAGCCGACCUGAGAGAGUGAUAGGCCACACUGGAGCUGCGACACGGUCCAGACUCCUACGGGAGGCAGCAGUAGGGAAUCUUCCGCAAUGGGCGAAAGCCUGACGGAGCAACGCCGCGUGAGUGAUGAAGGUCUUCGGAUCGUAAAACUCUGUUAUUAGGGAAGAACAUAUGUGUAAGUACCUGUGCACAUCUUGACGGUACCUAAUCAGAAAGCCACGGCUAACUACGUG
rnacentral:rRNA from 1 species